GCAGGGGCGGCUCAACGUAAUUUGAGGCCUAAAACGAAAUUUUAAUUGAGGCCUAAAAUCUAUAUAAAUAUCAAAUAUAGUAUUUUAUUUUUUAAAACUUUUUAAGUGCAAAUUAUUACUUGAUAUCUUUUCUUAAAAUGUUUUUUUUCAAAUAUCGUUUUUAAUUAUUAAUUUUAAGUAAUAUUUUAUCAAUUCAACAUUGAAAAAUAUUCUUUUGCUGAGGCAAUCAUUAUAUAAAUUGUUAACAUAAUACUAUAAGUAAUAAGUUGACAAGCUUUACAUAAAGAUAAGAAUUAGAACCAUAAAAUCUGAUACAAGAAAUUGAUAACUUGGUAUAAGUUAUAACCCUACUUUAAUAUGUUUAUGUAAUACUUGAAUAUUUAAGAAGAAACAAACAAAAGAAAAAUUGUAAGUCACUUUGUUG
rnacentral:lncRNA from 1 species